AAUAAACUUUGGUUUAUGCCGAAGACAGCAGGAGCAGAACUUGCUUAAAUAUCCUGCCGAGGUUGAAGCCUGAAGCCAUAAAACCCAGAAAAAUAGUAGGUUUUGCCAACUAUUUUUGUGAUGGGAUUCGACUUCAGCCCCGGCAAAAAAGCUAGGGGUUUAUUUUUUUCCCA
rfam:Cyanothece sp. ATCC 51142 circular chromosome, complete sequence.